UUAACCAACAACACGUCUCGCCGGCCACUACAAUCUAAAUAAUCCAGUUUGCGUACCGCUGGCGCGUUAUUUAAAUAAUAAUAAUUGAAAUAAUUCGUCGGCGACGUCUGUUCAACAUCGUUCACUUUACAUAGCAAGAAAUCAGGUUCGCAUAGAGGAAGAGCAUUAGAAAUAGGAAUAGAAAAUCAGAAGUAGAUUUCAAUGAGAAAUUGAAGACGCAAUCGGUGAG